GACGAACGCUGGCGGCGUGCCUAAUACAUGCAAGUCGAGCGGAAUGAAGAAGAAGCUUGCUUCUUCUGAUUUUAGCGGCGGACGGGUGAGUAACACGUGGGCAACCUACCUUGUAGAUUGGGAUAACUCCGGGAAACCGGGGCUAAUACCGAAUAAUCCAUUUUGCUUCAUGGCGAGAUGUUGAAAGACGGUUUCGGCUGUCACUAUAAGAUGGGCCCGCGGCGCAUUAGCUAGUUGGUAGGGUAAUGGCCUACCAAGGCGACGAUGCGUAGCCGACCUGAGAGGGUGAUCGGCCACACUGGGACUGAGACACGGCCCAGACUCCUACGGGAGGCAGCAGUAGGGAAUCUUCCACAAUGGACGAAAGUCUGAUGGAGCAACGCCGCGUGAGUGAAGAAGGUUUUCGGAUCGUAAAACUCUGUUGUAAGGGAAGAACACGUACGAGAGUAACUGCUCGUACCUUGACGGUACCUUAUUAGAAAGCCACGGCUAACUACGCG
rnacentral:rRNA from 1 species